rnacentral:rRNA from 1 species
UACAGAGGUCUCAAGCGUUGUUCGGAUUCAUUGGGCGUAAAGGGUGCGUAGGCGGCGCGGUAAGUCGGGUGUGAAAUCUCGGAGCUUAACUCCGAAACUGCAUUCGAUACUGCCGUGCUUGAGGACUGGAGAGGAGACUGGAAUUUACGGUGUAGCGGUGAAAUGCGCAGAUAUCAGGAGGAACACCGGUGGCGAAGGCGGGUCUCUGGGCCGAUACUGACGCUGAGGAGCGAAAGUGUGGGGAGCGAACAGG